rnacentral:rRNA from 1 species
UACGUAGGGUGCGAGCGUUGUCCGGAAUUAUUGGGCGUAAAGAGCUUGCAGGUGGCUCGUCGCGUCGGGAGUGAAAACCCGCGGCUUAACCGCGGGCCUGCUUUCGAUACGGGCGGGCUAGAGUUCGGCAGGGGAGACUGGAAUUCCUGGUGUAGCGGUGGAAUGCGCAGAUAUCAGGAGGAACACCGGUGGCGAAGGCGGGUCUCUGGGCCGAUACUGACACUGAGAAGCGAAAGCGUGGGGAGCGAACAGG